rnacentral:SRP_RNA from 1 species
UGGUGAACCCCGCCAGGCCCGAAAGGGAGCAACGGUAGCCAGGCUCUCCGGGUGCUGCCCGUUUCCUACGUAG